CCUACGGGAGGCAGCAGUGGGGAAUUUUGGACAAUGGGGGAAACCCUGAUCCAGCAAUGCCGCGUGAGUGAAGAAGGCCUUCGGGUUGUAAAGCUCUUUUGUCAGGGAAGAAACACCGGCUCUAACACAGUCCGGGAAUGACGGUACCUGAAGAAUAAGCACCGGCUAACUACGUGCCAGCAGCCGCGGUAAUACGUAGGGUGCGAGCGUUAAUCGGAAUUACUGGGCGUAAAGCGUGCGCAGGCGGUUAUACAAGACAGGCGUGAAAUCCCCGGGCUUAACCUGGGAAUGGCGCCUGUGACUGUAUAGCUAGAGUGUGUCAGAGGGGGGUAGAAUUCCACGUGUAGCAGUGAAAUGCGUAGAUAUGUGGAGGAAUACCAAUGGCGAAGGCAGCCCCCUGGGAUAACACUGACGCUCAUGCACGAAAGCGUGGGGAGCAAACAGGAUUAGAUACCCUGGUAGUCCACGCCCUAAACGAUGCUGACUAGUUGUUCGGGAUUUACAUCCUGAGUAACGUAGCUAACGCGUGAAGUCAGCCGCCUGGGGAGUACGGUCGCAAGAUUAAAACUCAAAGGAAUUGACGG
rnacentral:rRNA from 1 species